rnacentral:rRNA from 1 species
UAGGGAAUAUUGCUCAAUGGGCGCAAGCCUGAAGCAGCAAUGCCGCGUGAAGGAUGAAGGUCUUCGGAUUGUAAACUUCUUUUGUUUGGGAUGAAGAAAUUUAGGUUAAUAACCUAGAGAUUUGACAGUACCAAAAGAAUAACCACCGGCUAACUCCGUGCCAGCAGCUGCGGUAAUACGGAGGGUGGAAGCGUUGAUCGGAUUGACUGGGCGUAAAGGGAGCGUAGGCGGCUUGAUAAGUCGAUGGUGAAAUUUCUGGGCUUAACCCAGGAGCUGCUGUCGAAACUAUCAAACUAGAGGAUAUUAAGGGAAAGCGGAAUACCACAUGUAGCGGUGAAAUGCGUAGAUAUGUGGUAGAACACCGGUGGUGAAGACGGCUUUCUGUGAUAUACCUGACGCUGAGGCUCGAAAGUAUGGGGAUCAAACAGG